rnacentral:rRNA from 1 species
UACGUAGGGUGCGAGCGUUGUCCGGAAUUAUUGGGCGUAAAGGGCUCGUAGGCGGUUUGUCGCGUCGGGAGUGAAAACCUCGGGCUUAACUCGGGGCUUGCUUUCGAUACGGGCAGACUGGAGGUAUGCAGGGGAGAACGGAAUUCCUGGUGUAGCGGUGAAAUGCGCAGAUAUCAAGUAGAACACCAGUGGCGAAGGCGAGUCCCUGGAAAACUCCUGACACUGAGGCACGAAAGCUAGGGGAGCAAACAGG